rnacentral:rRNA from 1 species
GAUGAACGCUGGCGGCGUGCCUAAUACAUGCAAGUCGAACGGACGGACGCGAAGCUUGCUUCUUUGAUGUUAGCGGCAGGCGGGUGUGUAACGCGUGGAUCACCUACCUAUAUUACGGGGAAAAUUUCGGGAAACCGGCGCUAAUCCCGGAUAAUAUUUUGCACCGCAUGGUUCAAUGGUAAAUGACGGCCUUGCUGUCAGUUAUAGAUGGUUACGCGCUGCAUUAGCUAGUUGGUAAGGUAACGGCCUACCAAGGCAACGAUGCAUGGCCGACCUGAGAGGGUGAUCGGCCACACGGGAACGGAGACACGGUCCAGACUCCUACGGGAGGCAGCAGUAGGGAAUCUGACGCAAUGGGCGAAAGCCUGACGGAGCAACGCCGCGUGAGUGAUGAAGGCCUUCGGAGCGUAAAGCUCUGUUAUUGGGGAAGAACAGAUGUGGAAUUAACCGUGCACAGCGUGACGGUACCGAAUCAGGAAGCAACGGCUAACUACGUG